UGAAGACGUUCCAAGUGUUAACACUAAAACGAGAGUGCGGUCAAAUUGACCACACUUUCUAGGAAUUUCUUUACAGAAUUCCAAGAAAGAUAAUGGCACGUUUUUCUGGUGUUAGUUUAUCAUUGAUUCCUUAACA